UUAGGAUGCCUGAUCAUAUUG
ensembl:piRNA 21ur-4472 ncRNA